CGAACGCGUUGGCCCAAUUGAUUGAUGGUGCUUGCACCUGAUUGAUUUUGGUCGCCAACGAGUGGCGGACGGGUGAGUAACACGUAGGUAACCUGCCCAGAAGCGGGGGACAACAUUUGGAAACAGAUGCUAAUACCGCAUAACAACGUUGUUCGCAUGAACAACGCUUAAAAGAUGGCUUCUCGCUAUCACUUCUGGAUGGACCUGCGGUGCAUUAGCUUGUUGGUGGGGUAACGGCCUACCAAGGCGAUGAUGCAUAGCCGAGUUGAGAGACUGAUCGGCCACAAUGGGACUGAGACACGGCCCAUACUCCUACGGGAGGCAGCAGUAGGGAAUCUUCCACAAUGGGCGCAAGCCUGAUGGAGCAACACCGCGUGAGUGAAGAAGGGUUUCGGCUCGUAAAGCUCUGUUGUUAAAGAAGAACACGUAUGAGAGUAACUGUUCAUACGUUGACGGUAUUUAACCAGAAAGUCACGGCUAACUACGUGCCAGCAGCCGCGGUAAUACGUAGGUGGCAAGCGUUAUCCGGAUUUAUUGGGCGUAAAGAGAGUGCAGGCGGUUUUCUAAGUCUGAUGUGAAAGCCUUCGGCUUAACCGGAGAAGUGCAUCGGAAACUGGAUAACUUGAGUGCAGAAGAGGGUAGUGGAACUCCAUGUGUAGCGGUGGAAUGCGUAGAUAUAUGGAAGAACACCAGUGGCGAAGGCGGCUACCUGGUCUGCAACUGACGCUGAGACUCGAAAGCAUGGGUAGCGAACAGGAUUAGAUACCCUGGUAGUCCAUGCCGUAAACGAUGAGUGCUAGGUGUUGGAGGGUUUCCGCCCUUCAGUGCCGGAGCUAACGCAUUAAGCAC
rnacentral:rRNA from 2 species